GAGGGAUCAUUACGUUACAACUCCCAAACCCACUGUGAACCUUACCUCAGUUGCCUCGGCGGGAACGCCCCGGCCGCCUGCCCCCGCGCCGGCGCCGGACCCAGGCGCCCGCCGCAGGGACCCCAAACUCUCUUGCAUUACGCCCAGCGGGCGGAAUUUCUUCUCUGAGUUGCACAAGCAAAAACAAAUGAAUCAAAACUUUCAACAACGGAUCUCUUGGUUCUGGCAUCGAUGAAGAACGCAGCGAAAUGCGAUAAGUAAUGUGAAUUGCAGAAUUCAGUGAAUCAUCGAAUCUUUGAACGCACAUUGCGCCCGCCAGCAUUCUGGCGGGCAUGCCUGUUCGAGCGUCAUUUCAACCCUCGAGCCCCCCCGGGGGCCUCGGUGUUGGGGGACGGCACACCAGCCGCCCCCGAAAUGCAGUGGCGACCCCGCCGCAGCCUCCCCUGCGUAGUAGCACACACCUCGCACCGGAGCGCGGAGGCGGUCACGCCGUAAAACGCCCAACUUUCUUAGAGUGACCUCGAUCAGUAGAUG
rnacentral:rRNA from 1 species